rnacentral:rRNA from 1 species
UGGGGAAUAUUGCACAAUGGGGGAAACCCUGAUGCAGCGACGCCGCGUGGACGAUGAAGUAUUUCGGUACGUAAAGUCCUGUCAGCAGGGAAGAAAACGACAGUACCUGACCAAGAAGCCCCGGCUAACUACGUGCCAGCAGCCGCGGUAAUACGUAGGGGGCGAGCGUUAUCCGGAUUCACUGGGCGUAAAGGGAGCGCAGGCGGCACGGCAAGUCCGGUGUGAAAGCCCGGGGCCCAACCCCGGGACUGCACUGGAAACUGCCGGGCUGGAGUGCCGGAGGGGUAAGCGGAAUUCCUGGUGUAGCGGUGAAAUGCGCAGAUAUCAGGAGGAACACCAGUGGCGGAGGCGGCUUACUGGACGGUCACUGACGCUGAGGCUCGAAAGCGUGGGGAGCAAACAGG